UUCACAAUGUAAGUCAUUCUAGCAUUUCCCACAUUCAUAUUGAUGUUGUAUCAACAUCAAUAUGAAUGUGGGAAAUGCUAGAAUGACUUACAUUGUGAAA
rnacentral:misc_RNA from 1 species